rnacentral:lncRNA from 1 species
UAAUACAUUAAAUUUCCUCUAUUCCAUUACAAAGAACAUGAUCCAAAGAUUACAAGUUGUGAUACUAAUUAGUAGCCCAAUUCUGGACCUUUCAAUCAUUGUCUCAACUAUUCGAAAUUACAGUUUUUGAAACAUUGACACUGGAAAUGAUAUCGUAAAACAUAACAUAAGACUAUCCAGUAGCAACACCAUUCACGACCUUGCAAUCAGAUGAUAAGACUAUCUAGCAGCAUCACCAUACUCGACCUUGCAAUCAGAUGAUAAAACUAUGCAGCAGCAACACCGUUCUCGACCUUGCAAUCAGAUGAUAAGACUAUCUAGCAGCACCAUUCUCGACCUAACAAUCAUUGACUGAGCCAUGCAUCGACAAAAUAUCUUAGGAAUCUACAAAAAUAAAGAAAUGAGAUCAGUAACUUACGGUAGAAAAAAAGGUUAAUAGAGCAGCAAAAUUUCGAAGAGCAAUAAACAAAGGUUGAAGGCUAUGCAAUAAUUAAUCCAGCUGCAUGGCCAAUAAUUUUUAACAAUUUUUAGUGGUCGUAUCAACUAGUCAGAUUUCGCUAAUGUAGCACCAACUUGCACUACAUGUACAUCUCUAUGGAAGAAAAACUGCAGUUCAUUAAUUUUUUAACCACAGAUUUCUUGAUAGCAUAGAACAUGCACCCAUAAGUAGAUAUCAUUUCAUAUUGCAGCACAUAUUUCAGUUAUAAUUUAAACACUAAUAUACAUAUCUAAUUGAUAUCGUAUAAACUUAUGUGAUUAGUCUGCGAUAGCAUGAGUGAAUAUGGUGUGAUAUGUUCGCAAAACCCAGACAAGUAAGAUUUGGAAAGUAUCACACAUCUGAAGCUGAAAGUAGAUAUUAGCAUAUUAAACUAACUCACCUCAUUCCACGAUUAAGUUUCAUCAUGUCGAUCGAAAUAGUGUUUUAUAGGAAGCGAGGUAAUGUAAGUACACACAUAGUAUUUGAUGAAUUGUUUUACGAAUCUAGCUGCAACGAGUCAUGUCUCGCAGAAGCAGUAUGAGAAUUUCACAUGCAAGAAAAGUGUUCUUUUGUACAAAUUAGAUGGGAGAAAAGAUAGGUAUAUGGUAGAUAAGAAAUAAUAUUCAGGAUCGCAAUUAGUAGUCCAAUUUCCCUUUGUAGUGAUAGAACUACAAUUACAAAUUACAUUAUAAAAAUUCCUAUCUAGCACUAGUGAUCUUCCAUGUUUUAGUGCCAAGAAUAUUGACAUGGAACCAAUGGUGGUGCUAGGAUUUACAUGCUGUGAUUUCAAAGCUAUAAAUUGAAAUUACACAUUCACCUACUACACUUAAAUGUAGAAAAAUACAAGCGACAAACCUGAACCAUGUGUUGUCCUUUGACGUCACAGUCACAACGUAACGUCGUCACUACCUGAAACAAUCCAGUUUCUGUAAUCUGAAGAUACAACAUAUGUAUUGGUAAUUUAGAAGACCACAAAACAAUAUUUCAAAUGUAUGUAUACUGACACUAAAUUUUCUCCAUAGAGAAACUAUGAUCUCCAUAAGCCAAUACCAUGGUUAGAAUGGAGAAGUCAACAUAACAUCAUUACUCACACAAAGAUCUCUAGACCAAAUGUUACUCUGAAUUUGAACUCUCUCAAGAUGAUCUAAAAAACUGAGAAACUGAUGCACUUUGGUAUUGCCAACAUAUUUAAUUAAUAGAUAAACUUUGUCAAGCGGGAUGGUUCAGUGUUUCCAUUAAAAGAUUACUGUCAAAAUUGGAAGCUACUUUUUCAACAGUAACUAAUUUUUUCAACGAAAAAUUGCUGGAAACUUGAAUACUGCAUAGUCAGUUUCGUACAUGUACAUGCAUCUAACUUUUCCUACUUGGUGAACAACUAUACUAGUAAAAACUUAAUAGCUGCAACUACAGCUAGUAAUAUCCGUAUAACGUAUAGCUGCUGCAUAUUAAUUGGACGGGAUGGGGCAGAUGGCUAGCUGACCGUACUGCACUACAAACCAUCACUGUGGAGCGGCUGCACCACUUCUGUACAUCUCUCAGUCGUCGCGACACCCUUGUGCAUAUAUGAGUCGUCGCACCGCUGCUGUGCAUCUGGGCCGCAACUGAACCUCCGCUUUUUUGGCCCAUCGAGUAGCCCCCUGCCCCUGCGCUAUUGACAUCUGAUCCAAAUUC